GGAGUCGUGCCUGAAAUAAAGGGCCACUUUGAUAGAGUGGAUCAUGGGGGUUAAAAUCCCCCCGACUCCU
rnacentral:tRNA from 1 species